rnacentral:lncRNA from 1 species
AGCUAACUAUUAACAUAAAUCAAUUACCUUUGUUUGUUGGUUCUUUUAGCCUGAAAAUAUGUGCUACAGUCUCCUUGUGACCAGGAACUAAACUAUGGAAGACUCUAGUUUGAUAAACUUUCACUUCUCCAAGAGAAACAUCUUCAGCUCUGAAAGUUAUGUGAUACAAGGCAACUGAUUCGGCAUUUGCCUUAUAAUAUCAAGGAGUCUCAGAUUUGCACCAUACGCAAACAUUUUGUUAAAUAAAAUGUAAGAUGGAUAUGUAAUUAAUAAUCAGAAACAUAGAAAAAAAAAACCCAAGGUAAAUACAAUUAAAAAAUAUAUGCGAAAUAACUAUUUAUGUAUAAUCGGUUACAAUAGUUAGCAUCUAAGAUUAGCAACACACCUUUUUAUUCUGUUCCUCGAUUGCAUAGGCAAGGGCCUCUUUGCAGCCUACAGUAAAUUCCUCAUCAUCAUCUUCAAGAUCCACAUGAAAAGCAACACCCAGAAAAAAUUCUCCGUCACCUGACUUUGGAUAGUCAUCAAAAUCAAAACCCUGGAGAAGAAGGUUGUCCAAUCAGUUAAGAAUGCAAUUAUAAAAGAAAAACUACAAAGGUACUGUCGUCUGAAAUUAAUAUAGACAUCCCUCUGGUUGCCCUCAUAGUCAGGGUCAUCGUAGCCUUAAGGUUCAUCUUUGUUCCUGACAAGGAUACGUUUCGUAGUAUUCUCACUGUCAGAGCUAUCCUCUUCACCGUCGGAGCUCUCCUCAAAGUCUUCACCGUCGGAGCCCUCCUCAACGUCUCCACCGUCGGAGCCGUCCUCAACGUCUCCACCGUCGGAGCCGUCCUCAACGUCUCCACCGUCGGAGCCGUCCUUAAAGUCUCCACCGUCGCAGCCCACCUCAACGUCUCCACCGAUGGACUUAUCGGCAACUUUAACCCCCUCACUAUCGGCAAAUGUUACCUCUUCAACGGUGGUGUCAUCGGACAACUCCUCCUUCGCAAAGCAUGGGUAGACCCUCUAGAUCCA